UAUAUAUAUAUAUAUAUAUAUAUAUAUUAUUUUGGGGGAAUCCCAGAGCAGUUGAUGAUGCAGGCUGAGGGUACAUUUUUUUCUUUGAUCUCUCAUCUUUGUUUAGGAAUGCAUCUUGGCCUAUACCCUUUGUUUUUUACUAAGGGGUACAGAAUGCCUCUUAGAUCCCCGUUUUUUUCCGUCAUUCCCUUAUUUUGGAUCUUAUCCGUCACGUGAUACAAAUCAUGAUUUCCAUCAUUUUCAUAGUUUGUAAAACAUUUGACAGUUGAAUGCUGUGAUUAUGGGACUCUAUUCCAAUCAUACUUUGUUAGAAAGUUUAGUAUCUAAAAAAGCAGAAGUAGGAAAUCUGCAUGCAGUCAGUACUGCUUUAUGAACUAAGAGAACUUCUUGAGAAAACCACAAGAACUGCCUUUUUGCAUAGAUAAUAUAAUGUCUACUGCCAAUAUUUCAACUCUUGAUUUGACAGAAUCAUUGAGGGAAUCUUUUAACCUUCCUCUGUGUCCAGCUCUUAGCAGUGAGUAAGCAAGCCCAGCACAGGGACUAGCCACAUGGUAUAUAUGAAGAUCCCAUGCAGGAUAAAGAAAUGCAGAGUUUACGUCAUAGCCUGGAAUACACUGCUUUUAUAAGUUCACUUUACGUAUGUGGCCUCCACUGCUUUAUGAGCAUGAUUGUCAACUAUUGACUGUGGGUGUGUGGCUGAAUGAGGUGGUGCCUUCCAGUACUUACGGUUGGAUAUGAGAUUCAGAAUGUGCUGCUGCCUCCCUUUACUCAUUUCGGUAAGGCCCCUAGUCUCUGAGGCAUGUGUUUUAGUUUGCUUUGGCUUGGGAAAUUGACUCCCUACAGCUCUUCCCCUCUCUGAUUGAUUGGCCUGUAACUGUUGAGGUUUGAAAUAGUCCCCAUAAGCCCUCCUUUAGUGUUUUUUGUUUCCUGAGCUGACCCUGUCCUCUCACUGGAUAGUUAAGUGCAUGGUAGUUGUUGCUAAGUGGGUUCUCAGAGCUCAAAUCAGUAGUUUGGCCUGUGCUAAGUGGGUGCUCAGAGCUCAAAUCAGUAGUUUGGCCUGUUAGCCUUUCAUGUGACGCCAUCACACAUUUACUGUGCAUCUUCUGUUAGUUUGUUUGGCCAGAGUGCAGGAAGUGUGCAAGUGCUGGUCCCAGGAGGCUAGCUAGAGGUUGCCACCUCCACUGUCUUCCAAUUACUAAGCUGUGGACAAAUCUGAGGAGAUUGAGAUUCCUUUGUUGUAGACUCAACAUGAUAAUGAAGCUUCCUUGUUUGAAGCAGCAUUUAAAUUCUUGAGAUGCACCUUUCUGUUUCAUUAUGUCCUUGUUUUUUUUACCUCAGAGAAAAGAACAUUAAUGCAUUUCUUACACAGAAAGGAAUAAAGCUUUUAGUUUUACCUACCUUGCUUGCUAUCAUUAGACAGUAUCAUGUUAAUGUUUGGAAGCAUUUGGGUUCAAGUAUUUCCAUGCCUGAGAUCUCAGACCAUUUGUAGUAGCUGUCCCAAAAUGAUUUUUCCUUCUCACCAGGCACCUCAGGGCAGAUCCUUAACUUACAUUAAUGCAUAGAAUACAUCCCAGAAACUCAGCAUUUCAUCAGUCUUCUAAUGGAGGGAGAAAACAUGUGCAAAUGAGCUUUGCAAUAUGAUUUAUAUUUCUGGUACUGUGAGUCUUGUGGCUCUUAACUAUUUGCUGUAUGUGUUUUAUUUCCCAGAUUUGGUUGAUAAACACAUGGGAAAAAGUCAUCAUUAGUUCCUCAUUUAGAUGAGAUGGAAGCUGUAGAGAAAGUCCUUAAUACACUGUCUGUAGUCAGGUCCCACAGAAGCUGUUAUUUCUUUAAUGCAGUGGAUGCACCUGCACUUACUGAUCCCCAGCACCUGCCUGUAGGGCAAAUCAGCACUCAUUCAAUGAGGUGUGCAGCAGCAUAUCUGAUAUACCCAUUUUAUGACAAGGUGCAUUUUGGUGAUUUCUCUUUGAUAAUCUCCAAAAGAAUGAUGAGGACUGUUGAGGAUAUUUUAAGCCGCACUUCUUUGUGUCAUGAUUUCUGGAGAAGGAAAAGAGCCAAACGUUAAAGGAGACCUUCUAGGCAGCAAACCGUCCUUUCCUUCCCUGUCCUUCUUUGAGAACUUUAUCCCAUUUGGCCAUUUACCUAUACUGACUGACUGUUUUGGCUCAUUUCCUAGAGGAAGGCUCAGAUCACCUUAAUGUGCCCUGUUUGCCCUUUAGUUUGUGGCAUUUUCCCCUUGUUACAACCAUGUGUGACAUGGAGAAUGAUCUGGUUUGCCCCCCCCCAAAAAAUAGCCCUAUUUGAAAGGCUUAUUGAUGUUGCACUACUGCUGUGCAUUGUAGCUAGUGACUGGGUCCUGUUGCACUACUGCUCGACAUUGUAGCCAGUGACUGGAUCCUGUGCACUACUGUUGUGUAUUGUAGCCAGGGACUGAAUCCUGUUGCACUACUGCUGUGUAUUGUAGCCAGGGACUGAGUCCUGUUGUGUAUUGUAGCCAGUGACUGGGUCCCACUGGUCUACUGUUGUGCAUUGUAGCCAGUGACUUGGUCCCAUUGCACUACUGCUGUGUAUUGUAGCCAGUGACUGGAUCCUGUUGCUCUAUUGUUGUGUAUUGUAGCCAGUGAUGGAGUCCUGUUGCACUGCUGUUGUGUAUUGUAGCCAGUGACUGGGUUCCAGUGCUCUACUGUUGUGCAUUGUAGCCAGUGACUGGAUCCUGUUGCACUACUGUUGUGCAUUGUAGCCAGUGACUAGGUCCUGUUGCACUACUGUUGUGUAUUAUAGCCAGUGACUGGGUCCUAUUGCACUACUGUUGUGCAUUGUAGCUAAUGACUGGGUCCCAAUACUCUACUGUUGUGCAUUGUAGCCAGUGAGUGGGUCCUGUUGCACUACUGCUGUGUAUUGUAGCCAAUGACUGGGUCCCUUUGAAGUAAGGAUGCCGAGGAGGAGUGUUACAAGGAAUGCUUGGUAUUCUUAUCAGAGUCUGUCUCAGAAACAUGACCUUGUAGAGAGAGAUGUCUACAGCAUGUCUUUAUACAACUUGGUUAUAAAAUUGUCCAUCUUGAAACAGGCUACUUUUAUGGUUUUAAAGGGACAGUAACAGCAACUGUUGCUUGCAUUUACCUUAGGUGUAUAGGGACAGCAUCUGAUGAGAAGUACAUUUUUAAAUUCAGGGCUCGUAACCCACAGACAGGAGUUAGCAUAGUAACGGUAAUAUCAGUAAGUUGAUUACAGCAAAGUAACCUGGGAACUGUGAUACUUGGAUUCUUAAACAGCUGCUGGCGGUGAGUUACAGUCCUGUUAAGUCUCAGCAAAGGGCUGUACUACUACAGAUUUGUGAAAAGGGUUUUUAUAAACGGCUGUACCACUACAGAUUUGUGAAAAGUGUUUUUACAAAGGGAUGUACUGCUACAGAUUUGUGAAAAAGGUUUUACAAAUGGCUGUACCACUACAGAUUUGUGAAAAGUGUUUUUACAAAGGGAUGUACUGCUACAGAUUUGUGAAAAGUAUUCUAAAGUAUGAGCACAGUCUGUGUUAUUUCAUGUCUUUUGUUUGAAAAAUGGUCAAUGUAUGUGCAUUUUGUCUUAAUGUGGUAUCAUUUAAAGCAAGUUUUGUACAGUGUGUGUGCAUGCGUACAUACACAGUUUUUCCAGAGGUGAGCACCCUCUCAUUAGGGUUGUGGUACAUGCACUUGUUAGGUAUAUAAGGUAUUCCACAGAACAAUUAUCAUCUCCUUUUCACUGCAGUCUCAUCUCUUUAUACAGACUCUCAUGCUUAUGAGUAGGGGUGUGCUGAUAUUCUGUUUUUCUGUGAAAAUACCCAUAAAUCCUUAAUUUGGAAUUUCUGAGUAUGGGGGGAGGGCACAGGAUUUUUCAUGGAAUUUGUCAUUUUAGGCUAGACCACUCAUUCACAAUAACUUGUUUUUUCCUCCUAUUUUCUACAUAUAGUACUGUCAGUUUGCAUAUUGUACAUUCUUUACUUGUCUAUUUUAAUUUUGAAAGCACAGAUGCACUAACAAAAUUUAUAAUGGAGUUAGAGCAAUGACUGGAAAUUUAAAAAAUCGUAAGUCCUGGCAUUCAUCCCUGCUUAUGAAAACUUAUGAUUUUUCAUGAAGUUGUAGAAAACCAUGUUUGAAUUUAUAUUUACAGGUGAUACUAAGGAAUAGCCACAUAGUGGUUUACAGGUGAUACUAAGGAAUAGCCACAUAGUGGUUUACAGGUGAUACUACGGAAUAGCCACACAGUGGUUUACAGGUGAUACUACGGAAUAGCCACACAGUGGUUUACAGGUAAUAGUAAGGAAUGCCACACAGUGACUGUAAUGGUGAGAUAAUGACUUUAUCCAUUCUGAUAGAACAUCUAUGCAGCCCACUGAAUUGCUACUGGAAAUCUGCUUAUGAAGAGUGCCAACUACGUCUAUUGGAGUUGAGACAGAUUCUUUAAUAAUCCUGCCUUACAGUCCUGGAAAGUGCCAACUUUAAGCAAGGAAAAUCUGCAAGUUUUGCUUGUUUGCUGCUAUCCAGAAAUCUCCCAAUGGUGAUGGUCAUCACUGCAAAGUCAGUGUUUUCACAUGACACAGGGGACCUCUGCAAAGAGGUGCAUACAACAUGCCAGUGUCAUAUAUCCCUGGAUUGACUCUUAGAGCACAGGCCCUGUCAUUGCCAUUCUGACACCAGAACAUUGCAAUUAAGUGUUAGAGUCCAGAAACUAUGUUUACAGUAUUGAACAGCAGUUGCAUUAUCAAUUCUACAAGCUUUCAAUCAAGCCCUCUAGUCAGUACUACUUCUCUUCCAAGUUCCCAAGUGGCAGGUACUAAUGCUUAUAGUAUGAUUUAAACUGAGCACAAAAGCUGCAGUUGACUGAAGCCAGAUCAGUUGAAGCAAUGCAGGUGUGUAGUUCUUUGUUUUGAACUGUGAACACUAAUGAGAACCUGGGAAACACUUUCCACAAAUGAAUGAAGGGUUUGUUAGGUCAUGUGUUCGUAUGAACACCAGACACAUGGAAAUACUGUUUGUUGCAUCUUGUAUACAGUGGAGUAGUUACAAAGUGUAAAAAAGGAAGGGCGAGUGUGUAAACACCUGGGCUGACACUAUCUCCAUUUGGUUGUGUUUUGAAAACAUUUAUGUGUACUGUUGUCUUCUAUUUGACUUUCACGUUUUGUCAGUAAUUUAUGCAGGUCAUAUUUAACUUUUGGCUACAGAUUUCAUCUACCUGCACUGUAAUACGAUUCUAUUUUGUAAAAUAUUGUUUACGAAGAGUCAACAUCUGUUAGCUCCAUAGGACAUGUAAUGCUUGUAUGUAUUUUGUUUGUAUUUUGUAAUUUAUUUGGAAAAUAAAACAAGUUUGUGUUGAACCGUAGAUGAAAUAAAUUGGUUUAAAUGCACUGCAUUUAGAAGUUUGAACAUUUGAAGUACUGUAUUAUAUUCUGUACAAAUCCUUAUACUUUAAGCAGUAAGCUUUCUUAUCUAGGAAGCAUCUUAUGAUCCAUAAUAUGAUGGUAGUGAAAUAACACUAACUCACUGGUGUACCUGUGUAUACACAGGGUAAGCCAUGGUGUACAGGUUUUUAAGGGGCCAAAAUUUCAACCAGCACAGGGGCACUAAGUGUCUCUGUUUUGGACACAAAAGUAAAAUUAUAAGAGUACAAGAAGAUAAAUUUGUCCAUAUUGAAAUAUGCUUUUUAUAUUACAAUUUAUCCAAAUAAAGCUUUUAUUAAUCUUA